rnacentral:rRNA from 1 species
UACGGAGGGUGCAAGCGUUAUCCGGAUUCACUGGGCUUAAAGGGUGCGUAGGUGGGCUGGUAAGUCCGUGGUGAAAUCUCCAAGCUUAACUUGGAAACUGCCGUGGAUACUAUUAGUCUUGAAUCUCGUGGAGGUAAGCGGAAUAUGUCAUGUAGCGGUGAAAUGCUUAGAUAUGACAUAGAACACCGAUAGCGAAGGCAGCUUGCUACACGAGUAUUGACACUGAGGCACGAAAGCGUGGGGAGCAAACAGG